ensembl:lncRNA
AGGCUCUCUGGAAUGGGAAUCUCAGCUUUGCUUCUCACUAGCUACAGGAUCAUGUCUUAGUUCGUGUUCUGCCACUAUAACAAAAUAGCUAGGGCUGGGUAUUUUACAUAUUGAAGAGGCUUAUUUAUCAUAUGGUUCUGGAAGUCCAAGAGCACAAUACCAAUUUUUCUCAGCUCUGGCUUCUCUUCACAGCCCCCUUGGCUGUACUGAAUCACAGUGGAGACAUUAUGGCAGGACUGCAUGCUAGAGGGACAGAUCACCCAGUGAGACAGGAAGUCAGACAAGUCCAGGGGCCAGCUUUGCUCUUUUAUCAACCUGCUCAUACAGGAACUAACCAUAAUUUUGUGAAAACCACCUUAAAUCCUUCUGAGGGCAUCGUUUCCAGUGUCCUAACCUUAUGCUACACCUCUUAUAGUUCCCACCACUUUUUAAUGCUGUCAUUACCAGGAACCACGCUUCCAGCACAUGAAACUUUGGAGACCCCCUCAAACUAUAUCCAAAUCACAGCAGGCUAUGGAGAGCAUACCAGGCAUGUGAUUUCCUAUGAACCUACAGUCAUUUGCAUUACAAGUGGUCAUGGUCCCUGUCUAUCGGAAGGUAGGUUUUGUAGAACCUGUCAUUUCCUGGGAAAUUGUUCUCCAUCUCAUUUCAUGUUGGGUGAGUCCUUUUCUCACAGAAUAGACUAGACUCGAUGCAACAGGAAACACUGAGAAUCAAUUCUUUGUUAUUAUAGACCCUAUUCCUGCGUCCCGGUAGGAGACCAUCAACCAGAAACUUUUUGCAAAUCCUCCGAAGGGGACAGAAGCAAUGAGAGCUGCUCUUGCUCCCUCGAUGCAGUAGUGUAGCAUUUACUCACUUCUGUAAUAACCCGAAAUGGUCUAGUGUUAGCAUUCUUCGAGCAGUUGGCAAUUAUAGUCAGAGAUUGUUGUUAAUUUUUUUUAAAGCAGCUUAUGGCAGUGACAAAAAAAUGAUUGCUUCUGAAAAUUCAUGGAGUGUCAGCUUCGUCCACCAUCAUGGAGAAUACUAUUAAACUGUGAGGCACUGAGAAAAUGAAGCAAGAAAUAUCAAGCAGCUGUACUGAGAGUGGAGUCCAAAGAUUCAGAGCUGAGGGAGAGCAUAUUGGCAUCCAAUAUAUCACAUCUUCACUGACCGACUCUCUCUUUCUCUGUUUCUUUUCUAUUUUUCAUUCUCAGAACACUCCAGGGCAAUGUGAGCCCCAGCUUCAGAACACAGUGCCAAAAGAGAACUCACCUAACCUGUGGUUGUCCUGCUUCAGGACAUGUCGAGGGUCACUGCAUUGCAGCUGGGACAGAACAAACUCAUCCUUGGCCACAGGUCCACAGGAAUAUCUUCUCUGGUGGGUGGGUGUCCACUUAGGUGUGUCAUGUCUGCUUAUUUGAAGUCAAAUUUUUUCUCACUGAAAGCUAGCCUCAGCUAAAAAAUACUCUGUUUUCAUCCAGUCUUCUAAAAACCAAAAGGAACUAAAAGAGCAGCACCACUGAGUGGAAUUGCUCUUUAGGUGAUUCUCCAGAGAGACUCCCAAAGAUGGGAGGUGUGGUGAGAGCACAUCAUUCCUCACCUCCAGAAAUUUCUCCUUCACAGGGUGCCUUGGGAUUGCUCUGGAUGUUUUGAAGAGGGAAACCCAGUGGUCAGCUCAUAGAUAUCCACUAAGGUGACUUGAUGAUGGGUAGGUACUUCUGAUGAAGGAGGCAUCUGACAAAGGAGGGGAGGAAUCUGUAACAGUGAAGGACACUGAGAAGCACAUUGAGACAGCUGCUUAAGACCACCAACACCUGUGUCAUCCACUUUUGCCAUGACAAUACUUCUUUG